rnacentral:rRNA from 1 species
CAUGCAAGUCGAACGGCAACCCUUGGAUUCGUCUGGGGGUGAGAGUGGCAAACGGGUGAGUAGCACGUAGGUGACCUGCCCUAGAGUGGGGAAUAACCACUGGAAACGGUGGCUAAUACUCCAUGUGCUCGGUGAUUCGUUUCGCUGAGUAAAGCCCCUGAAAGGGGAGCGCUUUGGGAGGGGCCUGCGGCCCAUCAGGUAGUUGGUAGGGUAAUGGCCUACCAAGCCAAUGACGGGUAGGGGGCGUGAGAGCGUGGUCCCCCACACUGGCACUGAGACACGGGCCAGACUCCUACGGGAGGCAGCAGUCGGGGAUAUUGCACAAUGGGCGAAAGCUAGAUGCAGCGACGCCGCGUGGGCGAUGAAGAUCUUCGGAUUGUAAAGCCCUUUUCUGGGGGACGAGAGAGGACGG